rnacentral:rRNA from 1 species
UACAGAGGUGGCAAGCGUUGUUCGGAAUUACUGGGCGUAAAGGGCGCGUAGGUGGUCUUGCAAGUCCUGUGUGAAAUCCCUCGGCUCAACUGAGGAACUGCACAGGAAACUGCUUGGCUUGAGUUCGGGAGAGGGAAGCGGAAUUCCGGGUGUAGCGGUGAAAUGCGUAGAUAUCCGGAGGAACACCGGUGGCGAAGGCGGCUUCCUGGACCGACACUGACGCUGAGGCGCGAAAGCUAGGGAAGCAAACGGG